UACGUAGGUGGCAAGCGUUGUCCGGAUUUAUUGGGCGUAAAGGAAGCGCAGGUGGUGACUUAAGUCUGAUGUGAAAGCCCAAGGCUCAACCGUGGAGGGUCAUUGGAAACUGGGUCACUUGAGUACAGAAGAGGAAAGUGGAAUUCCAUGUGUAGCGGAGAAAUGCGUAGAUAUAUGGAGGAACACCAGUGGCGAAGGCGAUUUCUGGUCUGUGACUGACACUGAGGCUCGAAAGCGUGGGGAGCAAACAGGAUUAGAUA
rnacentral:rRNA from 1 species